UACGGGGGGGGGCAAGCGUUGUUCGGAAUUACUGGGCGUAAAGGGUUCGUAGGUGGCUUGCUAAGUCAGACGUGAAAUCCCUCAGCUUAACUGGGGAACUGCGUCUGAUACUGGCGAGCUUGAGUGCAGGAGAGGAACGCAGAAUUCCAGGUGUAGCGGUGAAAUGCGUAGAUAUCUGGAGGAAUACCGGUGGCGAAGGCGGCGUUCUGGACUGCAACUGACACUGAUGAACGAAAGCCAGGGGAGCAAAACGGG
rnacentral:rRNA from 1 species